rnacentral:lncRNA from 1 species
UCCACGUUGGCUGGUUUGAAACUGUGGUGUAUGUUUAAGCUCAGGCUGGAAAAGGAUCGCUGAAAGUCACUUGGAUGGUGUCUCAUGUGUCUGUGAUGAGCUUGCUGUUGCUUUCUUUCUUCUUGACAGAUGAGAAAACAGUGGCUUCAAAGGUUAAACAACUUGUCUUCGAUUAAUCGCACAGCUAACAAGAGCUCACUGUCCAAAGGGAGUCUGUCUCCCUGGUCCACAUGCUGAGGCUUGCUCCAGAGUGAAUGUGUGUACUGGAAAGAACCCACACAGGCCCCCUGAGAGCUGUCAGCCUUGCCAGGCUUCUGUAGAUCCCUGGGUCCGAGUAGCCAAGCUGGGAGGAGCACCAUUUGCCCACUGACUCUUGGGCAAGGCUGCAGCCUGCAUCCCAGCUGGCAGAAGGCAGGUGGUAUCACAGCUGAGUUUACAGCCACUGAAGGGCCCACUGUAUGCUUUUAGUAGAUAAUAUGUUUUCUCUGCUUCAGAUCCUUAUUUUGAUUGCUUAAAAUUUCUGCAGAAAACAAACAGCUUCUGCCAAAAUUGGCUCACAAAAUUAGUUUACUAGUAUAAUCAGUUGUAUAGCAAGUAUUUACUGAGUAGCUCUUGGAAGGCAGUCAACACAAGAGGGAUGGAUCAUUCUUCCAGUUCAUCACACGUGGGUUGGACAUGCUAACAGUCCCCGACAGCUAUCAGGCAAGUAUAUGGAUGAUCACACAAAGGCAGAGGCAUCGCAGAAGGAUGCUAACUAGAUGUCAUGAGUCAAGGAUACUAUAGAAGGAUCUCUUUGCUGACAAGGAGGGUACCUCUAAGGUUCCUUCAGAUGGGAUGGUUCUCUGUUCACCGUGAUCACUACUAUGCAAAGGCCUGUGGGCCAUUUAGGAGAAAAGCAUUCAGUCCAAUGCUACAGACACAGUGAGGAUGUAAUAUGCCCUGGGCAUAUAUGAGUGGAUCCAAGGAGGAAAUACUCAGUCAGUACUGUCAAGAACUCAUGACCUGCUGCAAGGUUGCCAAACUAUGGCUUGUGGGCCAAUCUGGCUCACCACCUAUUUUUGUAAAUAAUGUUUUACUGGAAUCCAGACACACUUGUUUGAUUACAUAUCGUCUAUGGCUGCUGAGCACCCACUAUAAGGGCAAAGUUGAGUAGAUAGAGACUUUAUCACCCACAAAACCUAAAAUAUUUGACUGGAUGGCCCUCUGCAGAAAAAGCCUGCCAGCCUCUGGUCUUGUGGGAGGACACUGCCGGGCACAGUUAACUCUAAUUCUUGGCUGUAGCAUCCUGAAUAGGGUGGCAGUCCCUGGCUGCUGAGGGGGACAGCUGGCUGGCUGCCUCCCAGGGGCAUUUCCAUGACUUGC